UCAACCCGCGAGUUCAUUUUAGGGAAACCAACCCUACUCUGACUCUCUCUCUCAAUUCUAACCCUAACCCCCCACACUUUUCAUCUUCUCCUUUCUCCAAAUUAUCUAAAUUCACACCAAGGUACAAAAUGACCCAAUCUCCAUUAAAAUCAUCAAUCUCCUCCGUUCCAAAUUAUCUUCUGGUUUCAAUUUUAUUUUUUCUUCAUUUUCGGAGCAGAUCUCGCCGAAAAAUUCUGAAAAAUGACCAACGGGGAAGUUAAGGCGGUGUCCAGAGAGGUGUCGUUGAUUAUGGGAAAAGAGUUGCAGAUCUAGGAGAUGGUGAUACUCUAUUUUUGAAUGUCUUUCCGUUUGGAGCGGCACAAAUCCUCUAUAUCUCACCAUUUCUCAAGCCUUUUUUAUUUCUUGCUCCAACCAUCAAGAUCGAAGAGUUAAUUCUUGUUCGAAUAAUGACUUUCAGGUUAUUUCGUUCCUCUGAAAUUUGGAACUUCGAGGGUUUUCAUUUAAUUAUUCGUCUUGAAUCGAUUUUAUUUCCGGAUGCUGCUAUUUCAGGUCCUGAUUCUGAUUUAAUUUUCUCAAUCUUCUUUUCAUUUUCCAAUUUCAAUUAGUUGAUUAAUAUGAGUAAUUUUGUUUUUUUAAAAUCUUGCUCGAAACUGGGGUAAUUUUUGGCCUAUCGCAAUUGAGACUUUAUUUGUUAGAUCAUAAAGGAACUCAUUGGGGUUAAAAUGGAAGGGAGUAAUAAUCUGAUGAAGAACUCCUUAGUAGUUGUCUUGGUAAAUGUCGAAUGUGUGUUGUCGGCCUCUUGCUUGAUUAGAAAAGAUAUUGUUAUUUAAUAAGGAACUAAAUGAUGACUUGCUUUACGAAAGGCUACCGUCUAUAACAAACUUCCAAUCAUAUAUUAAAAGUGUUGGUUUGAAUUGCAGUUGUUUUGCUUCUCUAAAAUAUUGAACUUUGGUGUUUUUCUUAAUUCAAUUAGAUAUUAAUGUUGUUCUUUUAGAGAUAGGGUUUUCUUAUAUAUCUUCUUCUAAUUCUAUUGUAAAUGGUAUAUUUUUAGGCUAUAUUUAUAAGGUUUGAUGACUUGAUAUGCUGUAAAUUGAUGGUAUGGUUGGUAGAAUAAGUUCCUGUAUCCAGUGGAUUUUGAAUCAGUAAGUAGAUAGCUUAAUUUCUUGUUUAUUUGUAAAUUUAUGUUUUAGUUUGUUUGUUGAUACUUUAAAAUAAAAUACAUUUCAUGAUUAGGUUUUGAUCCCGUUGAAAGAGUGGUUAUUCAACCAAAAGGAAUAUUGUUUGUUAGAUGAGCACCUUAUUAGCUGCUUGUAUUACUCUAUAUUGUGAAAUAACACAUGGUUAUUGCUUAUAGGUUCAUGGUUCAAUUGUAAGGCCAUUACAUUGACUCUACUUGACUCUAUGAGGACGGGAGUAUCUUUGAAUGCAUUGGGGUCACGAUGACGAGGAGUUAAAAUAUGAUAAUCUUGCUUUGGGGUUAAGCAGAGUUCUGGAGCAUGACAAAUCUGCCUUCGACGCAGAUCGUCUGCAAAAUUAAACGGGUGCCCCAUGCUUUUUCUAGUUCUGGUGCAAUUAUAUGGACCGCCUAAUCUUGAAUUCAUUGAUUGCUUUUUGAGUUCAAAAUUGCUGCUAGCGCAUUGGAACUUUGGAAGAGGCUAAUCUAGAAAACAAGUUUGUAGAGCCAAGUGUCAGACCCUGUAGACGCCUACUUUUGUCCCCAUUCCCGAAAGAGAAGGUUCGAUGAUGAGAACAUAAAUCUCCACUUGACAACGCAUCUCCUAUAAAAUAACGAAUCUCAAUCACCCUUUCAUUUCAGCCAAAACUGCUAUUUAUAGAAACCUGCUAAGAAUAGUAACUACCGUAAAAGCUAGUUAUUAAAAGUGGCAAAAUCAUAAAAGAUAGAAACCUGUCAGAAUUAGGUGUUGCACUCCAACAUAAAUCCUAAAAGAGAUAUAAUUUACAAAGGAAUUCUAUUCCUAGUAUAAUUCGAAAAUAAGAGUUACGUAUUAAUUAAAUUCCUAACGAACCUAGAGUUCGUAACGGGCCCAGACGCAUUCCGUCAUAAUACGCACUAAAAGACUCGGAUAAAUCUCCCAAAAAGGUCCGUGUUCUAAGAGUCCAAAUCGAACAAGAACUCGGCCCAGAUCCAAGCGUUGAAAGUGCCUAGGGCCGUUUUAUCUCCGGAUUCUUUUUGGAUUCGUAUCUUAAAAUCUAUCUUUCCACACACUCUUUUCAUAUAAAUACAGCCUAAAACCGACGUGAAAAUAACACACAAUUCCAUAAUCGACCCACUAUAACACACACGAUACAAAUUGGCAGCAGAGCAGCGGAAACAAAUCAACUUUUCAUGAAUCUGAUGCUGAUGUUAUUAAAUCAGGGGGUUGUUUUUAAACUUUUAAACUGAUGCUGCUGCAGUUUACACUCCAGUUUUUUUCUUCUCCAACAUAAUGCAGAAUCCAACACCUCUAAACUUCCUCUAGUUAUAAGCUUAUUUCUUGAGAGUUAAUUAAAAGAUUAGAACUUUAACAUUUGGUCUUAGUUUUUUAAGCUUCUCAUGUAUGAUAUUAAUUUUUUCAUGGUUAUUUAUGUUGUAGAAGGAACUUCAGAAAAUAAUUGAAGAACCAACACUUUUUCAUGUCUUAGGUAGCUUUUCUUCUUCUAUAUCCUUUUUGGUUGUAUAUUCACUUUCCCAUCCAAUGAUAUUUAACUUUUUUUCUUUAUCUUGGUGGCACAAAAGGUGUUUAAGUCGAAGUCUCGUAAUUAAUUUGUGGACUUGUGGGUUUAGGGAGGUACUUCAAUCUAAGUUUAAUGAAGAAAACAAACAAAAUCAGGUGCUUACCAAUCGCGUGGAUACGGUACAUGAAGAAAACAAUGCACUUAAGAGCCGUAUGAGUUCAGUUGAAGAUGAGCUUAAAUCAUUUAAAGACGUGUUACUUUGAGGCUCCAAGAGAGGACAUUUCAACUAUUUAGAUUUUUAUUUUGUUAUUUUUGAUUGAACAUGAGUUUUAUAUUUAUUAGUUUUUUUAGAAUUUAAAGACAACGGGAUGUGAUUGUUGGGUUCAUAUAACUUGAAGUUCUAUUGUCAAAUAUUUUUUGAGUGAUGAAAUUUUCAUUUGUUAAAA